GAGAGAGAGAGAGAGAGAGAGAGAUUUGAAGGAAGAAAUUAGUGUUGAGUUGGUUUCAUAUAUACUGCAACUAGAGGAAGCAUCCAAAGGGAUCGCAUUGAUCCCAACUAGCUAUCUCUUCCAUGGUUUAAUUUGGAUCAUGCUAUCCCUUUGGAUAUCUCCUUUGGCAGCUUCAAACUUUUAGAGAUAUAUAUCAUGAGCAUCAACAACUAUAGAUAAUCAAGGAGUUCAUCCAAUUAACUCCCUGAUUCCUUCCCUUUGAGGGUGAUCAAUAUUCAAAUCAAAUGGGCUCAUGGGGUCCAAGCAGAGGAAGAAUUGUUGGGGCACCACCAGAGUGCAUGCACAAAUUAUCUUCAAUUGUAAGAUAUGUACUCCAAUUGUCUCCCUCUAUCACUACACAAAGCUUUGUCAAGGACACAAACUGCCAAAAGAAAACCAGAGUGCAUGAAUUUUUCUUUGCAAGCGAUCAGAAAGGAAUUGGAUGCUCCUUGCUCUGCAGACUGCAGAGGGGCCCAAAACGCUUGACUUGCCUCCAGAUUCAAAUCCGUACACUCCAAUUUCUUCCAUCUCUUUUCUCUUUUUAAUAUUGCGCUUUGUGAAACACAAUUUUCAGCCAUGUAUUGGGGAUCUGCAGGAUUUUAUUUGAUUUUUUUUUUUUUCCUCAUUAUUUGGGGAAUUUGAUUGAGAUGUGUAUAAAGUUGACCAUUGCCUUAAGUUGUUAUCAAACUUCCAUCUUUUUCAGGGAAGACAAUGGAAAGUUUAUUUAUAUUAUGUUGUAUUCUCCCUUUCAUAAAAUAAAAAAGUUAUAUUCUUCCGAAA